AAAAAGGCCCUUUUCAGGGCCAGCGAAUAAUGUAAAAGGCAAGCUUU
rfam:Stegodyphus mimosarum contig113308, whole genome shotgun sequence.